UCUCCGUAGGUGAACCUGCGGAGGGAUCAUUACAGAGUUCAUGCCCUACCGGGUAGAUCUCUCACCCUAUGGUAUUAUUACUUUGUUGCUUUGGCGGGCCGUUAGGCUCCGGCCCGACUACCGGCCCCGGCUGGUAAGCGCCCGCCAGAGGACCCAAAACCCUGAAUAUUAGUGUCGUCUGAGUACUAUAUAAUAGUUAAAACUUUCAACAACGGAUCUCUUGGUUCUG
rnacentral:misc_RNA from 1 species